CACUCUCUCCCUCUUCUACGAGUUUCCUCGUCGUUGGUGCUGCAAUUUCGUGGGUCCCCGGAUUUUGUCGCCACCCACUGCCUGAGCAACGCCUGUAAGUGGCUCUGCCGUUCCUCUCACCCCCUCUCUCCCUAAAUUGUUAGAUCUCUCUCUGAUCUCUGUCUCGCUGUAUUUCCGUACCCCACCCUCUCACGCCGAUGCCGGACCACCGCGAGCCACCGUCGUUCAGCCCACCGAGCAUCUCGGUUUUUCCCUCCUUCCCCGUUUCUCUCUCCCUCUCAACAGUUUCUCACUCCAUUAUUUUUCUCCAUAUUGCGUCUGUUAGGGUUGCCGUUACUCACCGCCGUCGCAGCUUCGAGGGUCUGUCGCCGACGAGUCCUAUCGCCGAGCUCAACGCCGGUAAGAGCUUCCACCGCCCCUCUCACUCCCUCUCUGCUCUCUUCCUCUCUUUUCUCCCCACCCUCAUGAAUUCUCUCUCUCACAGAGCAUCCCCACCUUUUCCCUGUCGUGCAUCACCUCUGGUCGAGCCGUCGACGAUCACCGCCUCACCACGCAGGGUAGUAAUCUUGUCCUACGCAGCGUUGUUUACUCACGAAACCAGUCGAUCACCACUUUGAUAUUGUGAAAGGUAAAGAAGGAUCAUCAUGGUGGGAUUCAAAAACAGGUACCUGAUAAUGGAAGUUUUUUUGGAUCCUAAUAGAGGUCUUGUUGGGGAUGAUCCCAUUAUCAUAACCCAAUUCAAUGUCUCAAAAGCAAUCAAAGACAGCAUUCUUGUAAAUUUUGGAGAGUGUGGUCUUGCUUCAACGCUUGGAUCCUUCCAAGUAAAGUAUGUGAAUCCCAUCACAAAGCUAUGCAUCAUUAGAGCCUCGAGGGAGGAGUACCAAAAGGUUUGGUCUGCAAUUACCAUGGUUAGGAGCAUUGGAAAUUGUCCGGUACUAUUAAAUUUAUUAGACCUAAGUGGGAGUAUAAAGGCUUGUAGAAGUGCAGCCUUGAAGUGUGAUGAACUAAAAUUUGAGCAGUACAAACUUGUUGUUGGGGCUCGUCUCUCAGCUGAUGCUAUGAAUCAGAUGCAAAACUAUCUUGAAAAGAUAAAAAUUUUGGAGCACUAAAGUACUGUAUCUGUGCCGACCUCCAGCAAAGUCAUGGUGAUAGCUUUUUGCUGGCGCUUCCUCGACUGUUGUUUUCAAAGCGAUCCUACAGGUCAUUGGCAAGUCUUCUUUUUGGUAAUUUUUUUGCAAUCGAUGAAUCCCUUCAUCUUGUGAAGCAUCUUGAAGGGUUUGAGAGCUUAAGCAGAGCAAGUUUAUAGGAUGUCCAUUUUUUUUUUUUUUUUGUGUAAAAUUUAAAACCUACUUUUGUUGUUAAAUUUUUGUUGAUAUUUUCA